GUUGAACGCUGGCGGCAGGCCUAACACAUGCAAGUCGAACGAGCGGCGGACAGGUGCGUACUGUAUGGGGACUGCCCGAUAGAGAGGGAUCACUGCUGGAUAAGAUGUCUAAUACGGCAUACUGUCCGAUAACCCAUAUGGGAUUAGCUAGUAGGUAAGGUAAUGGCCUACCUAGGCGACGAUCCCUAGCUGGUCUGAGAGGAUGAUCAGCCACACUGGGACUGAGACACGGCCCAGACUCCUACGGAGGCAGCAGUGGGGAAUAUUGGACAAUGGGCGAAAGCCUGAUGCAGCCAUGCCGCGUGUAUGAAGAAGGCCCUAGGGUUGUAAAGUACUUUCAGUCGGGAGGCGUUACCGACAGAAGAAGCAACGGCUAACUCCGUGCCAGCAGCCGCGGUAAUAC
rnacentral:rRNA from 1 species